rnacentral:rRNA from 1 species
UGGGGAAUAUUGCACAAUGGGCGAAAGCCUGAUGCAGCAACGCCGCGUGAGUGAUGAAGGCCUUCGGGUUGUAAAGCUCUGUCUUUUGGGACGAUAAUGACGGUACCAAAGGAGGAAGCCACGGCUAACUACGUGCCAGCAGCCGCGGUAAUACGUAGGUGGCAAGCGUUGUCCGGAUUUACUGGGCGUAAAGGAUGCGUAGGCGGAUUUUUAAGUGAGAUGUGAAAACCCUAAGCUUAACUUGGGGACUGCAUUUCAUACUGGAAAUCUAGAGUGCGGGAGAGGAGAAUGGAAUUCCUAGUGUAGCGGUGAAAUGCGUAGAGAUUAGGAAGAACACCAGUGGCGAAGGCGAUUCUCUGGACCGUAACUGACGCUGAGGCAUGAAAGCGUGGGUAGCAAACAGGAUUAGAUACCCCUGGUAGUCCACGCCGUAAACGAUGAGUACUAGGUGUAGGAGGUAUCGACCCCUUCUGUGCCGCAGUUAACACAAUAAGUACUCCGCCUGGGAAGUACGAUCGCAAGAUU